rnacentral:rRNA from 1 species
UUGGUUAUGCUAGAAAGAGCGCAGGGUGGAUGCUUGGCACUAAGAGCCGAUGAAGGACGUGAUAAGCUGCGAAAAGCUUCGGGGAGGAGCAAAUAUCCAACGAUCCGGAGAUAUCCGAAUGGGGAAACCUACUUGAGAAGCCCUCAAGUAUCCAUACGCCAAUCCAUAACGUAUGAGGGGAACCCGGUGAACUGAAACAUCUAAGUAGCCGGAGGAAGAGAAAGAAACAUCGAUUUCCAAAGUAGCGGCGAGCGAAAUGGAAAGAGCCCAAACCCGGAUGCGUGCAUCCGGGGGUUAGGACCGCAACAAGUGACUCGUAUAUUAGGAGAAUGGUUUUGGGAAAGCCAGCCAGAGAGGGUGAAAGCCCCGUACCUGAAAAUAGAAGAGAGCGAGCGGGAUCCAGAGUACCACGAGACACGAGAAACCUUGUGGGAAGGAGCGGGGACCACCCCGUAAGGCUAAAUACUACUUAGUGACCGAUAGCGCAUAGUACUGUGAAGGAAAGGUGAAAAGGACCCCGGGAGGGGAGUGAAAGAGAACCUGAAACCCUGUGUUUACAAGCUGUGGAACCAUUAUAAAGUGGAACCGCGUACUUUUUGUAGAACGGUCCGGCGAGUUACGUCGGCUGGCGAGGUUAAGGACUGAAGGUCCGGAGCCGAAGGGAAACCAAGUCUUAAUAGGGCGCCAAGUCAGCCGGAGUAGACCCGAAACCGGGUGAUCUAUCCAUGUCCAGGUUGAAGUUGCCGUAAAAGGC